rnacentral:misc_RNA from 1 species
UAUUGCCCAUCGCUAGCUAUACAUUUUUCCCACCUGUCUGGCAAUUGGUGGAUGCCACGCCAAAAAAACUGUCGCUCUUUUGAGGCAAACCAGUCAUCAUGCCAUUUUCGUAAGAAAUGAAGUGCUGGUCAGAAAGUGCGUGCUCCAUCGAUGCAAAUAAAUAGUAAUCGGGCGGAGCCAAGUCUGAAUCAGUUUACGUGCACUUUUGAUGUUGUCAUCAGUCGUGGAUGCAGACGACCUUCCGGUUCCUUCUUCAUGACUGACACCUGUGCUACGUUCUUUGAACUUCUAUAUCCAUUCAAACACAGUUGCUCGUGACAAAACGCUUUCGAAAUACUGUGCACAAAGUGUUCGAUAAAUAUCCGCACCAGACACGCUCUCCAAUCACAAAAUACGAAUCGUUUCAUGCUACUCUUUUUUCGUGCAAAUCACAAGUGGGGCAUCCACAAAUGAAUUGACGUAACACGUUCAAAACCUGAACAGCGUUGACUUAAAAGAUAGUGAUGUUAUACGAAAAGUGCAGAUAGGACAGUACGGCCAACAGAAGUUCUAAAUAUAACUGGAAUAUAACCGAAGUGCGGAUAAGUUUUGACUCGCUUUCCCCACACACACAAAAUUCGCACAGGUACUCAACUCUUCUUAAAGAUAAGGAUUAGUUAGAAUUGCAUGGUGUUGGGAAUUUUAUAAAUAAUUAUUGCAGAAGUACCUCUAAGCCUGCGAUGAAAGACGCAAGGCUAGAAAGAGAUUGCUUUCCGCUUCCUCCAACACCAACAAGCAAUGCGUUUCCUCUUGGUGACUCCAGAAUGCGAUUUAUUUGACAAACCUGGUACAUAGCAUCUUCGAAUAAAACCAGAUUCAUUGCCGCUACCUACUCCAAG